UCUCUGGUGGCUCAGAUGGUAAAGAAUCUGCCUGCAAUGCAGGAGAUCCAGGUUCCAUCCCUGGGUUGGGAA
rnacentral:tRNA from 1 species